rnacentral:rRNA from 1 species
AAUCAACGCUGGCGGCGUGCCUAAUACAUGCAAGUCGAACGCGAAAGUGGAGCAAUCCAUGAGUAGAGUGGCAAACGGGUGAGUAACGCGUGGGUGACCUGCCUUCGAGUGGGGGAUAACGUUCCGAAAGGGACGCUAAUACCGCAUGACAUCCUGCUUUUUAACAGGCGGAGAUCAAAGCCGGGGAUCGCAAGACCUGGCGCUUGAAGAGGGGCCCGCGUCCGAUUAGCUAGUUGGUGGGGUAAUGGCUCACCAAGGCAACGAUCGGUAGCCGGCCUGAGAGGGCGGACGGCCACACUGGGACUGAGACACGGCCCAGACUCCUACGGGAGGCAG